rfam:Chaetura pelagica isolate M959 contig744, whole genome shotgun sequence.
CCGUGGUGGUGGCUCUGGGGACACAGUGAUGUCCCCACGGUGGUGGCUUG